rnacentral:rRNA from 1 species
GACGAACGCUGGCGGCGUGCCUAAUACAUGCAAGUUGAGCGCUGAAGGUUGGUACUUGUACCGACUGGAUGAGCAGCGAACGGGUGAGUAACGCGUGGGGAAUCUGCCUUUGAGCGGGGGACAACAUUUGGAAACGAAUACUAAUACCGCAUAAAAACUUUAAACACAAGCUUUAAGUUUGAAAGAUGCAAUUGCAUCACUCAAAGAUGAUCCCGCGUUGUAUUAGCUAGUUGGUGAGGUAAAGGCUCACCAAGGCGAUGAUACAUAGCCGACCUGAGAGGGUGAUCGGCCACAUUGGGACUGAGACACGGCCCAAACUCCUACGGGAGGCAGCAGUAGGGAAUCUUCGGCAAUGGACGAAAGUCUGACCGAGCAACGCCGCGUGAGUGAAGAAGGUUUUCGGAUCGUAAAACUCUGUUGGUAGAGAAGAACGUUGGUGAGAGUGGAAAGCUCAUCAAGUGACGGUAACUACCCAGAAAGGGACGGCUAACUACGUG